AUUUGUUCUAUUGUUUAUCAGUACAUACAUAUGUAUAUAUAAAUACAUAAAUAUAAUUAAACUUUUUAUCUUUUUUUUAGUCACUUUACCCUUCAAAAAUAAAUUAUUUCCUUUAUAAAACCACAUUCCCGAAUAAACACGAACAAUUAUUCCUAUUUUGGGGCAAUGGACCAGCUAUACUAAAUUUUAUUUUUCAAGUAAAAACAAAUAAACAGAUAAAAUAUGUACAUAUAUGGAAACUCGACUCUAUUAUGUGCUAGUGUACUCUUCAAAUAUAAAUAUAUUUAUACAAAAAGUAUUUGUGAUUUAAUUUAAAAAGAAAUAUGUAUACAUGUAUUUUUUUUUUUUUUUUUUUUUUUUUUUUUUUAUAGACACUAUGUUUUUGUUUCUUAAUCAUAUUGUCUUGCUGGAUGUUUUUAUUAAAAGUAGAUAAUAUAACAUGGUUACAAUUAUAUAAAUACGGUAGUUUAAUUAUAUGUGGAUGUAUAUUAUUUUUUACAUUUAUAUUAAAAUAUAUUGUGUAUUAUUUUAUAAUGAUAAGUAAAACGGGUUAUUUAAUUGACACGAAGUUGUUAGAAAAGGUAAAUCAAAACUAAAAUAUAAAUAAAUAGCAAAAAAAAAAAAAUAAAUAAAUAAAAUAAUACAAUAACAUAAAAAAAAAAAGAAAAAAAAAAAAAAGAAGAAAGUGUAGGAUUUUAUUUUAUUCUUCUUUUUUUAUAUUGCAAUAUAUUACUAAUAUUAUUAUUGUUUUUUCAGGUAUGGGAAUUUGAAAGAUCAGAUAACAUAAAGAGAAUAUCCGAAUUUAUUGAUGCUAUAAAAAUAAAGUCCACCUUACAUGCACUUAAAGAAGGAGGGGAUGUAUUUUGGAGACAGUUGUUAAUAAAAUCAAGCACAGUGCCAUCAAAUAUACAGGAAAAAAUGUUUUCCAUAUGGGUUAGUUUAGAUGAGGAAAAUAGAGGUGUUAUUGAUUCUGUAAAAAUAUUAAAAUUUUUAAAAUCUCAGGGAAUUAAUUUGAAUUCAGAAAAUGAUGUUAAAGUAAGAUAUAUUUUUUUUUAUUUUUUAUGGCAAAAAAAAAAAAAAAAAAAAAAAAAAAAAAAAAAAAAAAAAAAAAAAAUGCUAGUAUGGCACACCUUUUCAUUUUGCUACAUCUGAAUAAACAUAAUUUUUUUUUAGGAAUUCUUGGAAGUAUUUGAUAGAAAUAACAAAAAAGGUUUAAAUCAGGAAGAGUUUUUUGUUCUUAUUAUUAUAGUUAAACAAAUUCUUGUAGAACUUUUAGAUAUUAAUGCUGUUCAGGUGAAAAUAAUAUUUAUAUAUACUAAUACGGACAAAGUCAAUUUUUCAAAAACUGUGGUUAUAUAUAUAUAUAUAUAUAUAUAUUUUUUUUUUUUAAUUUAUCUUUUGUAGUCUUUAUUCGAAGAAGUGUACUGCAUACCAUGGAAUUCGAUGUCGUCAAUUGACGUUAACAGUUUAAAAAAAAUAUUAUCCGAAGUAAGAAAAAGGAAAAAUUAUAGAAGCAACAUAUUAAUUAAACUUUACAAGUUUAUUUAAAUUAUUUGUAAUCUAUAAGUUUACCUUUUUCAAUUUAUUUUGUAAUUUUGUAAUUUAAAAUUCUUUUUUCUUUUUUUUUUUUAGUUAAACUUACAUUGGCCUUAUGGAAAAAUUCGUAAUCUAAUUGAUUUUGUAUGCGAAAAUAAAAAAAACAAAAUAUGUAAGUGCA
rnacentral:lncRNA from 1 species